rnacentral:tRNA from 1 species
GGACAUGUAGCUCAGGGACAAAGCACUUGCCUAGCAUGCAUGAGGCCCUGGGUUCAAUUCCCAAUACCA